rnacentral:rRNA from 1 species
GGUAACCUGCCUUGUANCGGGGGAGUAACGAUUGGAAACGAUAGCUAAUACCGCAUAACAAUGGAUGACACAUGUCAUUUAUUUGAAAGGGGGCAAAUUGCUCCACUACAAGAUGGACCUGCGUUGAUUAGCUAGUAGGUGAGGGUAAUGGGCUCACCUAGGCGACGAUACAUAGCCGACCUGAGAGGGUGAUCGGCCACACUGGGACUGAGACACGGCCCAGACUCCUACGGGAGGCAGCA